CAAAGUACAGUUUGUGGCUUAUAGGGUAAUGCAAUUAGCAAUCCCCUGUGGCGAGGAUCAGGAUAAACCAUGGUGGUGCUCCAACUCCAUUAUCAUCAAUGGCUGCAACCCAAGAAUUACAAUGGCUUCUUUCUUUCUCAAUAUUCCAAUACACCAAAAAUGGGUCGUCCUUCUACAAUUAUGUGCUCCCAAUCAUCUCCGACCAGAACUCAAAGGAUAAUGAAAAGCAUCUCAGUAGGAUCAGAAGUUGGUGGUGCCGGAGGAGUAUCUUCAUAUAGUGCUUUAAAAAGGUUGGACCAAAUAUGGACUAACAUCUGCUCAACUGAAACAGUUAAUAAACCACCACAGGUAGUUACUACCGUUUGUGGGCCUUUUACGCGCAGUGAAGUUUCUGGAAAGUCAGUAGACGAUUUCGAUGUAGUAGUAUGUGGAGGUACAUUGGGAAUUUUCAUUGCCACUGCAUUGUGUGCAAAAGGCCUUACUGUUGGAAUCGUCGAAAGAAACAUAUUGCAAGGGAGGGAACAGGAAUGGAACAUUUCAAGGAAAGAGUUGCUGGAACUUGUGGAAGUUGGCAUUUUGGAUGAAGAUGCCAUUGAACAAGCUAUAGCGGCAGAAUUCAAUCCUAACAGGUGUGGAUUCGAAGAGAAGGGUGAUAUUUGGGUCAAGGACAUUUUAAAUAUUGGGAUUUCUAUAGAGUUGAUGGUUAAAAGAAAGAGAAAGUUGUCCAUAGCACAUGACGAGUGGCUUUGCGCAACCCUUCAUAGAAGGCCAGCGAAGUUGCUAGAGAUAAUGAAGGAACGAUUCAAGUCUCUCGGUGGGAUAAUCUUAGAAGGUUGUAAUGUUUCCAGCAUAUGUGUGUAUGAUGACGCAGCGGUUUUGCAAUUAUCCGAAGAGAAGAUGUUAUCAUCACGACUAGUCAUUGAUGCUAUGGGGAAUCUUUCUCCUAUCACAAGACAGAUUAGAGAGGGAAGGAAGCCGGAUGGUGUUUGCCUUGUCGUUGGUUCAUGUGCACGCGGUUUUACAAAUAAUACUACAAGUGAUGUCAUCUAUAGCAAUUCCACUGUAACGAAAAUUGGUCAGGCAGAUGUGCAACUAUUUUGGGAGGCAUUUCCUGCUGGUUCGGGUCCCAUGGAUCGAACAACUUACAUGUUUACGUAUAUGAAUCCUCAUCCAGGAUGCCCUACCCUGGAAGAUCUCUUGGAAAGUUAUUGGGAAUUAAUGCCAAAUUAUCAGGGAGUUACCCUAGAAGAUCUCGAGAUUAUGAGAGUCGUAUAUGGCAUAUUCCCUACCUAUCGUGACAGUCCCCUGCCACCUGCAUUUGACCGAAUUCUACAGUUUGGAGACGCUAGUGGCAUUCAAUCCCCGGUAUCUUUUGGUGGUUUCGGAAGCUUGACCCGGCAUCUAGGGAGAUUGUCCACUGGAAUUUGUGAAGCGAUUGAGGGAAAUUUUCUGGACUCAAACAGCUUGGCUUUGCUGAAUCCAUAUUUGCCCAAUCUAAGUGCUUCUUGGCUAUUUCAAAAGGCAAUGUCAGCCAAGCAACAGCCUGAUGUGUCACCUUCUUUUAUCAAUGAGCUACUUCAUGCCAAUUUUCAGAGUAUGGAGAAGCUGGGUGAUCCUGUUCUAAGACCAUUUCUUCAGGAUGUUAUUCAAUUUGGACCUCUAGUGAAAACACUAGGUUUGGUCAUGCUUACUAAACCUCAAAUUAUUCCUUCCAUAUUCAAACAGGUUGGAGUCCCUGUAUUGAUCGACUGGUCCGGCCAUUUUGUAAUGCUUGGUUACUACACAUUUCUCUCAACCUUUGUAGAUCCUUUAGUUAGGCCCUCAAUCGAAAUGUUCCCUUCCAAAAUAAAGUUUCAGUGGAAACGAUAUCUCGACAGUUGGAAAUACGGAGCUGGUUUAGACUAUAAACUCUGAAAGCGUUAGUUGUGAGCGGUUCGGUUCCAAAGCACAAUGUGAUCUCUUUUUGGAGUUUCGGACGACAAUUGAUGUCAUAGUACAUAAAUAUUAGACAUGUAAUUGUAUUUAUUAAUACGUCAAUUAAUUCAAUAUACUGUUAGAAACAUAUUUUGUGCUCUUAAUCAGAUGGAUCCUGAUGUGAUCUCCUAAUAUGCCAAGUUUUGACACUCAUAUGGAGCAUUUUCAUGAUUUUAGCUCUCAAUCACUGCUUUCUAAAUACCUGUUAGGGUGUUCGGCCGCUGCAAGGACCUCUGCCUCCGUCUUCGGAAAGCACCAGGCUUGUCACCUCAACUGCUACGUAUGUCUUAGAUAUCUCAACAAACCUCGACUAUAACUUACGUAAGAUCGCUAUUUGGGUCGUACGGAAGAAGAAUGACCUGUCUUUCGAGUACUAUUCUUGUAACACCCGAAUUUCCUCUCGUCCUUUGCGGUUUUGGUUUCGUAUAUAUAAAGGAUCGGAAAUUCAAGGGUGUUAAAAUUCUUCAUUUACGCGUGCUCAGAUCGACCUCCUAAUCAUCAAUCUCAAACUCAAACUCGACCUGACUAGAUUGAUGUUCAUACUUUUAUUUAAACAGAAAUUCUUAAUCAAUUACGUGAUUUGUAAUUUAGCACAAAAAGACAAAACAAAUAUUAAUAAAGUAAAUGAAAAAAAAGGUAAAUCAAAAUCCUAAAAGCCCCAUGCUUCCCAUUCUAUCAAAUCUUCUACAAAGGGUAAUUUGCUAAUAUUAUAAAUCAUUGUUAUUUACUUAUACUACCUCAUAUUUUAAUGCAUUACUCUUACUAUUUGGAAUUGAGAUACUAGACGCCUAGACGAUAAUGGAAAAUUGUACUUUAAAACUUUUUUAUGAUCAAAGUUUCAUUACAUGUAACGACAUGAUACAUUUCAUAUUUGUUUGAUUAUAAUCGGAUAAAAAUUAAAUCGUUAAGUCUGUUUUGUUUGAUUAUAAUCGGAUAAAAAUUAAAUCGUUAAGUCUGUUUUGAACGACUUCUCGGGACAAAUGAGAGAGAUGAUAUAAAAUGAUAAAAGAUAAUAUAAAAAUGAAUAAUCAUACAACAUAAGACACAUUUAUAGCCAUAGGUACUCCUAUUAUUUAAGCAAUUUCAUGCAAAGCAUUGACAACUUUCGUUGAUUCGUUCAAUCAUCUUGGAAAACCACGAUAUUUUUCCUUGACAAUUCAUGUUUUAUCCAUCAAACAUUAACAAAUUAAAUUUAGAGAUUUUACGUUGCAAAAUGUAAAUUAGGAAGUAGUUUACCGAUUACCGUUGACAUGAUCGCACGAUCGCCAUGUAUGAGCUUAGGAAGCUUAAGCUGGUUUUCCUGCGAGGAUCAUUAUUGAAGAGGUCUUCCAUGAAAGAGAACUGCUACUUUUUCUAGACGAGCUAUUGCCUCUGCUUUUUAUCUAGGUAGCAGAAAACUUACCAUUUUCUAAGGGAUGUGUUAUCAUGUCUAAAAGAGGCUGAUAAAUGUCGAAGACCACCAAUUUCAAAUCAGCAAGUUUUGUCUGCAAGCUCUGCGCCACACCAUUUAAUUUACUGUUAAAAGAGAGAGCAUCCUUGUUCAGUCUUUCGACGCAUUGAUUAGUUCCUCCUCCAAAAAGCGUAAUGGCUGCUGGCAAACACCCCAUUGGUGGUAAGCUUGUUACUCCUAUCCUCCUUACUCCAAGCCCAUAUAGUGUCUG